GAUGAACGCUGGCGGCGUGCCUAAUACAUGCAAGUCGAGCGAACAGACGAGAAGCUUGCUCCUCUGACGUUAGCGGCGGACGGGUGAGUAACACGUGGAUAACCUACCUAUAAGACUGGGAUAACUUCGGGAAACCGGAGCUAAUACCGGAUAAUAUAUUGAACCGCACGGUUCAAUAGUGAAAGACGGUUUUGCUGUCACUUAUAGAUGGAUCCGCGCCGCAUUAGCUAGUUGGUAAGGUAACGGCUUACCAAGGCAACGAUGCGUAGCCGACCUGAGAGGGUGAUCGGCCACACUGGAACUGAGACACGGUCCAGACUCCUACGGGAGGCAGCAGUAGGGAAUCUUCCGCAAUGGGCGAAAGCCUGACGGAGCAACGCCGCGUGAGUGAUGAAGGUCUUCGGAUCGUAAAACUCUGUUAUUAGGGAAGAACAAAUGUGUAAGUAACUGUGCACGUCUUGACGGUACCUAAUCAGAAAGCCACGGCUAACUACGUG
rnacentral:rRNA from 1 species